CUCGAAACCCGAUGGCCUCUGGGAGUUCUCUGGGGACAUUCUGGGGAGUGUCCGAUUCGAAACUUGUUUCGGUUCUUAAAAAUAGAAACAAAACCGGUCGCGGUGGCGCACGCCUUUAAACCCUGUACUCCGGAGGCCAAGGCAGGUAGAUCGCUGAGUUCGAGGCCAGCCCGGACAACAACACGGGGACAGAGAGAGAACCCUACGGGACAGAAACAAAUCCAAACCUCAUUAGCCUGCCAAGGCCCACCUGCCCAGAGAUGGGGCCCUGAGCAAUGGAGGCUGGGCCCUCAGACAUCAAUCAGCAAGCAAGAAAAUGUCCCGCUGACGUGAUCAGUCUGAUGGAGGCAAUUCUUAAGAGAGACUGCCUCGUCCCAGAGAAAUAAUUUAGGGUCCAGGCUGGCACCAUACCUCAACAUAAUGGCUCCCUGAAAUGUGGGACUGAUUGACGAACCCCCAAAAUACAGAAGAAGUGACCAGACGUACAGAGGAGAAUGAGAGGAGCCCGUGAGAGAAAUUUGCACCACAGAUGGAAAGAAAAUAAAGCUGGAUGUGAUGACUGCAUAUGCAGUAAAGGAGUGGCAGACCUGAUGACAUCGUAGCUGCAAAUGCCCCAUAGAGGGGUUGGAGAGGAGUUCCUUGGUCCAGUCUCCCCCACCCCCACAGAGAGGAGUGCCCGGUCUGCAGGACCUGCUGCCGCCACUCUGUACUGCAGGGUGCCGUGCUGCUGCUUGGAGGGACAACACUCGGGACACACACAGACCCAGAGGCCCUGCUGAGGUGACUGCGAUGACUAUAGUUUUCUGUAGUCUGAAUCCUGUUUGCUUUGGAGCUGAAAUGCAGACUGAAUGUUUGACUCUUUUAGUCUUUUGGGGCACAGAACUCAUUUUGAUUAAAAUAUUGGACCUGAGAACUAAGACCCAAGCUUUCCCCUUGGAGAAAGAAAGACUCAAAAUAAGGAAUGACUGAAACCCCUCUUCACUUAAGAGGGGGCGGACUAAGGGUUUAACUGCUGCUCAGAGCCCGAACUGGUCCUGGAUAACAGCAAGGCCACCGCACUCUCACCCCUCAGAAGAGCUUUUCCUGUCUUUUGAUUAAUGCGGAUUUAAGAAAAUUGUGACGUGUUUAAUUGUGGAUUUCGUGUUAAUCACGGUAUUGACCUGGUGAUAUUUGUAACUGCAUAUAAGAUGUGGAGAAAAGUUGGUAUUGACCAAUAAUGCUGAGAAUUAUGGUACUGACCUGAUGAUGUUUGUAACUGCUUUUAAGAUGUUGAGAAAAGUUUGAAGCACCCUGUAAACGUUAGGAUUUAAUGUAUAUGUUAAGAAUUUUAGAUUUUGAUACAAUGUAAAAGACUUAGGAGGUAUUCUAGAUCAGAUGAAGACACAUUUUCAGCGCAGGCAAUCCUUUCUCCUUUAAAUAGGAGACUAUAGCCUUUGGGAGCACGAUAAUUCAUAAAGCAUUAUAGUUUAUCCUGACAAGAAAGUAUGGCUCUGAGAAACAGGGCCCAAAGGUAUCUCUCUCCCCCCAUCUCUUUUCUUCACAGAGAUCAGCAGUCAAUGAUGGGUUUGAAGCAUCUUGUCCCCAGAUGCCUAAGACAGGAGCUUCCAUAAAAUGGAAUGCCAGUUCCAAGAUGACUAAAUUUGGGUAAAUGGGGAAGUCUUUGCCUAAGGAAGGUGUGAUCAUCUGUCCUGUUGCAGAAGCACAGGUUUUAUUAAAAUUAGUAAGAGAGAGUGGAUUGUAGGCCCAUAUUUCUACAUGGUAUGACAACCAGAAUCCCAGAUCAUAGUUUGCACCUGCCACACAGGUGGUCUGUCACCUCUCUAACAAAGGGUCAGGAUGCUGUUCUGCUCCUUCUUUGUAAUUUGGAGGAUGCCUGAAAAGAGAUGUUAAUUCAGCCUACAUGACAGAGCUGGCAUACGGAGCAGGAAGACGUGACAGAGCAGGCACAGGUAGAUGUGGACGUGACCAUAGCCAUUCACCUGGUUACCUAGGAAACAGAAUGCUAAUGAAUUUCCCCUCAGUUUAUGUUUUGGUAUAUAAGGCUGUUUGGAGAAUAAAUGGAGGAAUUUUCAGGAUGUGAACUCAGGAUUUCAGGAGGGAUCACUGAAAAUCUCCCUCCCAAUA